rnacentral:lncRNA from 1 species
CUCCUGGGAGGAAAGGGGCAGGUCUCCCUUACGCUCUCGUUGUCUCUACGCCUCGCCGUUCUUGGUGCAGAGGACUCGGGAGGGCUGCGUUAAUGAGACAAGACGUUGCCUCUGCUCUGUGACCAUGAAACUGUUUGACCCAUAGACCCUGGACGCCCGGGGUCUCACAGACCGGGCACUGUGAGGUCACAGGCGGCCUGACGCUGGGCCGCCUUCCUGGAGAGGGAGCCGAGCGCCCGUGCCCUCCGGAGAGAGAGGUCCCUCUGGCCCUCGUCUCCAACUCGGGCCGGCUUUCUGUGCCUUUAACACUUGCAAAAUGUCCAGGAAGCAAGGCUUAUUUAGAAUACAGUAGAAUUUGAAGGGGCAAGACUUUUCAGAAGUGGGCAGAGGGUCUGAGAAACUUAGAAAAGGAAAAGCAAUUAACAGGUUCUCUCCUUUCGUCCUGCCCGCGGGGACCUGAGCACCUGACAAGUGGCCAGUCCGAAGGCUUAGUAUGAAAAUAACGAAAAUGUCUCGCUAACAAUUUUUACAUCGAUUACAUGUUGAGAUAAUAUAUUGAUAUAUUAGAUGAAAAUAUAUUGAAAUUGUACUUUGAAAAUAUAGCUAUCAGAAAAAAUUUCAAUUGCACGUAUGACUCGCAUUAGUUUUCUUUUGGACGGCAGUGCUCUUUUUGUGGUUAAGUGAGUUUGUUUAGAUACUGAGGAUUUAUGGGUCCUGCAAAAUGUCUGUAGUGCUAUUUGCCAUCACUAGAUGGCUGCCUCAUUCAACAGACUAGUUUUAUAUUUCCAUCUAACAACUACCAAGAAUUCCACAUAUUUUCAGAGAUUCGAUCGACUUUUUCUGUAACACUGACUGUAAACACAAACCUGAAGUAAAGGCCCUGAGCUUAAAAAGUUGGUUGUAUUCCUGUGGUCCAAGGACAUUAUCAUCAUUGGUUCGGAAAGCCACAAUCAGAAGAUGAUACGUGAACAAUACCUGGAGAGAGGGAUUGAACUCAGGACCUUGCGCUUGUGGAGCGGCCGUGGUGCUAUUGAGCUAAACCCCCAGCCCUAUUUAAAAAUAUUUCUUCAUUGUUCAAGUUGUAGAAGUAAAGAUGGCUGCUUAGACCUUGUGAAGGAAUAGCAGACCAGUUCCAAGCAUGAUGCAGCUGCAGUAUUACAGGACCAAGACUCUGUGAGUUAAAGAAACAGGAUGAACACAGGAAUGAAAGCCAAGCAGCAAGCUGUCAAGUCACAGAGGAGAGAGUCAGAGACAGGCCAAGCCAGGAAGUAGGAUCAGUUAAGAGUGCUAGAGAGGGUGCAAAGGACCCUGAAGAGAAUCCUCAUGUCCUGGAACACUCAGCCUGAUCUGAAAAACAGUCUUCCCCCAGUGUAGCUGCAGAGAAGGGGGGUGAUUGUGGACAUUUACCACCCAUACUAGAUGGAUCCAGCCUGGGUUAAGGUGACUAUUCUGACUCCUUCCAGUCCCUCACACCUCUUCAUCUUGUAACAGAAAUGUUCUUUCCUGUGGACAAUUCAUCCCACAUAGCAUAAGGCUGACCUCACAUACCUGGGGUGACAGCCUUCCUGGAUUUCCUGGGACUGAGGGGUUUCUUGGGAAAUAGGACCUUCAGUUUUAAAACUGAAAGAAUCCUAGGAAAUGUGGGAUGAGUUGGUUACCUUGAUCCUCAUGAUAAUCACUCUUUCACUGUAAAGAAACACAUAUAUUACCCUAAUUUGGGCUGAUGGAUGUCCUUCCCAGGACAUUAACUUAUUUUCAAAGUUGGGCCCAUUAACUCAGGCUGGAUUAAGUCAAUAGGAUGGAUGUUGUGAUCUGCUGGUGAUCAUUACCCCUUAUAGGGCAAAUAUCUGUCUGAGAGAUAAAGCUUGAAUUCCAAUCUCUGAUGACUAUCUUACCCAGCUAAGUAUGAAACAAACACUACUUGAGAAACUUUUAGGACAGGAGCUAAUAAACUUCUGCCUAAAUUUGGAUUUGGUUUUUGGCGUGGCUUAAUAUAGUUGGUACUUUGGAUAGAAGACAUGAGACUUAUGUGUAUAGGCAUCUUACCUACAAGAGGUCUCUCACUUCAUGAGAUAUAAGAGCUG